UUCUCAAUUAAACUACUU
rnacentral:tRNA from 1 species